AUUGGAUUGUUGGAGUGGUUAUGCUUCUUAUUUGAUUUGUAUCUUAAAACCUAAAGGUUUAGUAAUUAUUCCCAAGGAAGAAGACGACAGUGGCCUACUCCCAUGUUAUCCCAACUAUUCUAGCACUUCCCUUU